CCUAAGUCCUGUGAGGAAAUUGCUUCCGCCUUAAAGGACAAGGUCCAUGACAUCCCAAAGAAGGUUCUGUCUGUGAUUUGAACCAAGAAAGCUACAGGGGGGGGGGGUCACAGACAGCGUGUCAGAGGUCACACAGGUUCUAUGUGACAUAAGGUCCCACUACAUCUCGUGGCCUCGAGCUGAAUAAUUCCCAAGCAUGGCAAGGGCCUUCAAAGAAAGUGGAUUUCCAGGAGUGAUUCCAGUUGUCAUUUCUGGAUGUGUACACCGGAUGGCCUGAAUCUGUUCAUGAUGCCAGGGUACUUCGAAAUAUUAACCUUUUCCAGCACCUUGAGCAGGCCAACAUGGAUGAUUUCCACCUUCUCGGCGACUCAGCCUACCUCCUUGUCCCUUACCUCAUUAUGCCUUACAGGAACAAUGGGCAUUUCUCUCCAAUGCAGAAGAAAUUCAACUCCAUCUCACAGCUCCACGAGAGUUGACAUUGAAAUGGCAUUUGGACACCUCAAGGUCAAGUGGAGACGCCUCAAGUACCUGCCCAUGGUGGACAUUGAAAGGUCCCUGUGGUCACCACAGCAGCAUUUUGUGUUCCACAACAUCCGGCUGUGGCAUGAUGGUCUUGAAGACUGGGAGGCUGAUGCUCCGGUCCCUCAGGAUGUCAACGAUGAAGAGGCUGAGUAAUCCACAAUCCACGGAUAUCCAACCUAAUCAGCGACCGCAACCAAGAGAUUGCCUUUUCCCUCACUUCGUAACUAUCCAGACCCUCAUACAUGUAAUCAUUAACUUCUAGUAUAGCAAGUAUUUCAAGCUAGAAUCCAACAGUCCCCCCUUUUAGAAGAGUACCU
rnacentral:lncRNA from 1 species